GAAUCUUCGGCAAUGGACGGAAGUCUGACCGAGCGAUGCCGCGUGAGUGAAGAAGGUCUUCGGAUUGUAAAGCUCUGUGAUUAGGGAAGAAGGCUAUAAGGAGUGAAUGUCUAAUAGGUGACUGUACCUAAUUAGAAAGCCACGGCUCACUACGUGCCAGCAGCCGCGGUAAUACGUAGGUGGCGAGCGUUGUCCGGAAUUACUGGGCGUAAAGGGUGCGUAGGCGGUCCAUUAAGUCUGAUUUGAAAUACCAUGGCUUAACCAUGGGGGGCGAUUGGAAACUGGUGGACUUGAGCAUAGGAGAGGAAGGUGGAAUUCCAUGUGUAGCGGUGAAAUGCGUAGAGAUUUGGAGGAACACCAGUGGCGAAGGCGGCUUUCUGGUCUGUAACUGACGCUGAGGCGCGAAAGCGUGGGGAGCAAACA
rnacentral:rRNA from 1 species